GAGGUAUGGGACUGUAGGUAUAGAGGUAUGGGACUGUAGGUAUAGAGGUAUGGGACUGUAGGUAUAGAGGUAUGGGACUGUAGGUAUAGAGGUAUGGGACUGUAGGUAUAGAGGUAUGGGACUGUAGGUAUAGAGGUAUGGGACUGUAGGUGGAGGUAUGGGACUGUAGGUGGAGGUAUAGAGGUAUGGGACUGUAGGUGGAGGUAUAGAGGUAUGGGACUGUAGGUGGAGGUAUAGAGGUAUGGGACUGUAGGUGGAGGUAUAGAGGUAUGGCAUUGUAGGUGGAGGUAUAGAGGUAUGGGACUGUAGGUGGAGGUAUGGGACUGUAGGUGGAGGUAUAGAGGUAUGGGACUGUAGGUGGAGGUAUAGAGGUAUGGGACUGUGGUGGAGGUAUAGAGGUAUGGGAUUGUAGGUGGAGGUAUAGAGGUAUGGGAUUGUAGGUGGAGGUAUAGAGGUAUGGGACUGUAGGUAUAGAGGUAUGGGACUGUA
rnacentral:lncRNA from 1 species